GAUGUGACUAAACCACAGAUUGAAUACACUGAAAAUGCAUGUUACAUAAAGACAACAUUUCAAAUGCAUAGUGACAAAACUAGCUAGAAGAACUUGGUGUGUGCAAAUCCCCUUUUUAGUACACACACAAUGUAUCUGUGACAAGGGGAACUUGAAUAUACAAUUAAUCUGUGACAAGGGAACUGCAAUAGCAGACAUGUGAAUCAUAUCCACCAUUUCACAGUGCCAUAUAAUAGGCUAAAAGAGCUUGGAUGAUGCCAUGGAGUCUCGACUGAUGAGCAGUGUUGCCUGUAAUAGGCUAUCCAUUACUCAAAUUACUAUCUGUCUCUUUCGAAAUGCGGCUCCGACUCAACGAGUCAUUCACAGCCACCCAAAUGAAAUCAUGGGCAAACGUCAUGAAAGUGACGUCACGCUUCCAUUAGAUUCUUCUAAUGCCGCGUUCAAAACAACUGGGAACGCGGAAAUAUCCGACUUCCGAGCGUUCAAGACAACUGGGAACUCGAAAAAAAACGACCUUCGACUGGGAAGAAUCGUUUUGAAUCGUCAUCCAACUCGGGAACUCGGGCAUCUUUCUAGAGUACCGACUUUCUGACGAUCAAAGUUCAUGAGUUGACCUCGUUUUUCCGAGUUCUCCGUUGUUUUGAAAGCGCCAAAUAACGCAAGAAGUUCAGGUUUCUGCCAUCUGUGACCGAAAAGCGCUUCUGGACAUCAAAACAGCUAUCACUAACCUCGAUUUGGACAAGGACUUCAACUUCAAUGAGUCGGAGCUCCUUCCCCUCGGUCGCCACAGCAUCGGACUCCCUGUCACCCAUGAAGCUGGGUCGCAAACCAGGAAGGAAAGGGAAGCAAACACUUUGUCCACAUAGCUGAGUGGGUAAGGACGGAUACAUGAGAAAUGUCCUGGAACUGAAGGAGUUCAUCCAGUGUACAACUUUAAUAAAGACUAGUCAGCUUGGUUGUACAGUAUUAAUUCCCAGUUGAGAAUUAAAGAUUGAUUGAUGGAAGGGAUUUGAUAUCCACUAGAUGCCAAUUAAUGCACUGAUAUGAAUAGGUUAUGAUAUACUUCAGAGAAUACAAUUGCUAAAAUAUAGCCGUACUGUUACUGUAGUUCCCAUAUACAAGAAUUAACUUAUAAAGUCUCACAAAGGAAGUACAAAGGGGAAAGUGCAUGUCCACUUUUUGCAUACCGCCUCCUCUCCUCCCCCCAACCCCAUUCUUCGUAUUACUUCAGGCUUAUAUCACCGUCAUUCCUUAUACAAUAAUUAACUCCCCUUGCCCAGAUGACUGCUACGGUAGUGGCAGCCAUUUCAGUACACACAGGCUUGGGAAUGGAACUCUGAUGAAACACUCUGUAAUGCGGCAUGUCAAUUCAAUAGAGGGUCCUACACCAGGGUCAAAAAUAAUCUUCCUCUACCAUCGGCACUCUCUGUUUGAUUCAAAUUGCAGGCCUUGUUCGCUUUUGACAGUUGAAUAAAAGUAUUUUAUUUUCUUGUUGGAAACUCCGACUGGGGAGAGUUAGUAAAGCGCCACAUGAUGUAACUCCAACAUAAUCACAUACACUUAAUGAAACGACAGAGGAGUGUUUUGUGAACUGUGGAGAAGUAGGAUUCUGAAAGGUGGGUUGAAGCCUGUGAUAAUUUGCACCUUUCUUUUUCCUGAUAAAUGAAGUAGAAGUUUUAGCAAUAGGAGGUAGAGGUCAAUUAUGUGGAACAUCCAUCCCUAUUAUGAGGAAACAUCCUGUUAUGAGGAAAAACUCACCAACCUGCUGUUACCUCACAACAUAAUUUCACUGAACUUCUGUGUUUAAACAAAGAGGCAGGGUGUAACUGUGUUAAUGUCACUGACAUGGUAUUCACUUUAUCUCCCGGAUGGCCUUCUUCUUUGUUCCAGCCUCCUUGUGUAGAACACUUCCAGACGAGUAACAACAGAGUAGGAUCAGAUGGGUUUGGGUGUCCUCAAGGGACCUGCUCAGACCACUGUCAUGUGAUGCGUUCUUGUAACUCAGUGUGACUUUCCUGAAAUGUCUGUGAGAUCAGGAUGGUUGUACGAGGCUAGAGGAUGAUGGUGAUGAUGAGUAUUUAUCACACCAGACACAUUCAGAUUGUCCAUACAGAUGCACCACAAGCCAGCACAGACAGUGAAACCUGUAUAUUAUUAACUACAGUAACAUGCCUCGGGCUAGUCUGGUAGUGCAGCAACCUCUCAACGAUUAGUUUUGGGAAGAGAGGGAGGAGGGCCCCAUUUAAAUAUUGAAUUGCUGGUUGCAUGUGUUGAUAGUUACUAUGGUGACUUAUUUGCUCUGGCUUUUGUUUUUGCUCCCGGUGUGUCGACACAGUUCCUGUUGACGGUGAGGGAGAGGUUGAGCAAUCCCCCAGGCAGUUGCGUAAGCUGCCCCCCUUCACUUUCAGGUGCAAGCGAGUGAGUCUGUCUGUGUGGCUGAAAGUCAACCCUCUUUUAGGAAUGUGAUACGUGUCAGAGGAGCGGGACUGAGGUAAUGCCAUGGAAAUACUGCUCCAGCCCCACUGGCUGCACAGACAGGCAGACACACAGACAGGCAGACACACAGACAGGCAGACACACAGACAGGCAGACACACAGACAGGCAGCACAGCACAGGGGAGGUUGCGCAAGACCCAACGCCUGCUGUACAGUGGCAGGCAGGCUCACAUAGGGGAGAGACGUAGACAGAGAGAGGGAGAAAGGUAGACAGAGAGGUAGAGUCUUACCAAACUUGAUGCAUAUAAAUCAAACAGGGUUUAUUAAAAAUACACACAAACAAAUACAAGAACAUGUUUCAGUAUAAUACAAUACGCAAAAAAUCAAGAUAUAGAUUUAUCAAUAAUGGCUAUUAAUGCCGAAAAGGCUUUCGACCGUCUUGAAUGGCCUUUUCUAUUCAAAACUUUGGAAGCUUUCAACUUUCCAGCUAAAAUCAUGCAUUUAAUAAAGCUGUUGUAUAAAUGUCCUAAAGUAAAAAUAUACACAGAUAAUACAUUAUUUGAUGAAAUUGCUUUAGAAAGGGGCACAAGACAGGGAUGUCCC